rnacentral:rRNA from 1 species
GACGUAGGGACCAAGCGUUGUUCGGAUUUACUGGGCGUAAAGGGCGCGUAGGCGGCGCGGUAAGUCACUUGUGAAAUCUCUGAGCUUAACUCAGAACGGCCAAGUGAUACUGCAGUGCUAGAGUGUGGAAGGGGCAAUCGGAAUUCUUGGUGUAGCGGUGAAAUGCGUAGAUAUCAAGAGGAACACCUGAGGUGAAGACGGGUUGCUGGGCCAACACGUGACGCUGGAGGCGCGAAAGCCAGGGGAGCAAACGGG